AACUCUCAACAACGGAUAUCUUGGCUCUCAAUUCGAUGAACACCGCAGCGAAAUGCGAUACGUAGUGUGAAUUGCAGAAAUACGUGAAUCAUCGAAUCUUUGAACGCAAAUUGCGCUUGAGGCUUCGGCCAAGAGCAUGUCUGCCUCAGCGUCG
rnacentral:rRNA from 1 species